UCUCCGUUGGUGAACCAGCGGAGGGAUCAUUACCGAGUUUACAACUCUCAAACCCCAUGUUAACUUUACCCAACGUUGCUUCGGCGGGAUGCCCCGGGCGCGGGCCGCAAGGCCUCAGCCUCGGAACCAGGCGCCCGCCGGAGUCCCAAACCAAACUCUUGUUUUUGUAGAAUCUUCUGAGUGGCCUUUUAGGCAAAAAAUAAAUCAAAACUUUCAACAACGGAUCUCUUGGUUCUG
rnacentral:misc_RNA from 1 species